rnacentral:rRNA from 1 species
AUACGGAGGGUACAAGCGUUAUCCGGAUUCAUUGGGUUUAAAGGGUUCGCAGGCGGCGUAUUAAGUCAGUGGUGAAAUCCCGAGGCUCAACCUCGGAACUGCCAUUGAUACUGGUAUGCUAGAGUAUAGUUGGCGUUGGCGGAAUGUAUCAUGUAGCGGUGAAAUGCUUAGAUAUGAUACAGAACACCGAUCGCGAAGGCAGCUAACGAAACUAUAACUGACGCUCAGGAACGAAAGCGUGGGGAGCGAACAGGAUUAGAAACCCCGGUAGUCC